rnacentral:tRNA from 1 species
ACUAUAAACUGAGAUAUUUAAUCAAAAACUCUUGGGAUGAUAUAAAAAUACUCAGA